GACGAACGCUGGCGGCGUGCUUAACACAUGCAAGUCGAACGGAAAGGCCCUGCUUUUGUGGGGUGCUCGAGUGGCGAACGGGGGAGUAACACGUGAGUAACCUGCCCUUGACUUUGGGAUAACUUCAGGAAAAUGGGGCUAAUACAGGAGAGGAGCUCCUGCAGCAUGGGGGGGGUUGGAAAGUUUCGGCGGUUGGGGAUGGACUCGCGGCUUAUCAGCUUGUUGGUGGGGUAGUGGCUUACCAAGGCUUUGACGGGUAGCCGGCCUGAGAGGGUGACCGGCCACAUUGGGACUGAGAUACGGCCCAGACUCCUACGGGAGGCAGCAGUGGGGAAUAUUGCACAAUGGGCGGAAGCCUGAUGCAGCAACGCCGCGUGCGGGAUGACGGCCUUCGGGUUGUAAACCGCUUUCGCCUGUGACGAAGCGUGAGUGACGGUAAUGGGUAAAGAAGCACCGGCUAACUACGUG
rnacentral:rRNA from 1 species